GGCUUAAUACAUGCAAGUCGAGGGGUAGCAUGAUUGUAGCAAUACAAUUGAUGACGACCGGCAAACGGGUGCGGAACACGUACACAACCUUCCUACAAGUGGGGAAUAGCCCAGAGAAAUUUGGAUUAAUACCCCGUAACAUAGCGAUGUGGCAUCACAUUGCUAUUAUAGCUUCGGCGCUUGUUGAUGGGUGUGCGGCUGAUUAGAUAGUUGGCGGGGUAACGGCCCACCAAGUCUACGAUCAGUAGCUGAUGUGAGAGCAUGAUCAGCCACACGGGCACUGAGACACGGGCCCGACUCCUACGGGAGGCAGCAGUAAGGAAUAUUGGACAAUGGACGCAAGUCUGAUCCAGCCAUGCCGCGUGAAGGAUUAAGGCCUUCGGGUUGUAAACUGC
rnacentral:rRNA from 1 species